rnacentral:rRNA from 1 species
UACGGGGGGGGCAAGCGUUGUUCGGAAUUACUGGGCGUAAAGGGCUCGUAGGCGGCCAACUAAGUCAGACGUGAAAUCCCUCGGCUUAACCGGGGAACUGCGUGUGAUACUGGAUGGCUUGGAUUUGGGAGAGGGAUGCGGAAUUCCAGGUGUAGCGGUGAAAUGCGUAGAUAUCUGGAGGAACACCGGUGGCGAAGGCGGCAUCCUGGACCAAUAUUGACGCUGAGGAGCGAAAGCCAGGGGAGCAAACGGG